UAGGGAAUCUUCCACAAUGGACGCAAGUCUGAUGGAGCAACGCCGCGUGAGUGAAGAAGGGUUUCGGCUCGUAAAGCUCUGUUGUUAAAGAAGAACGUGGGUAAGAGUAACUGUUUACCCAGUGACGGUAUUUAACCAGAAAGCCACGGGCUAACUACGUGCCAG
rnacentral:rRNA from 1 species